rnacentral:rRNA from 1 species
GCAUAACGCGAAGAACCUUACCCACCUUUGACAUGUACGGAAUCCUUUAGAGAUAGAGGAGUGCUCGAAAGAGAGCCGUAACACAGGUGCUGCAUGGCUGUCGUCAGCUCGUGUCGUGAGAUGUUGGGUUAAGUCCCGCAACGAGCGCAACCCUUGCCAUUAGUUGUUACGAAAGGGCACUCUAAUGGGACUGCCGGUGACAAACCGGAGGAAGGUGGGGAUGACGUCAAGUCCUCAUGGCCCUUAUAGGUGGGGCUACACACGUCAUACAAUGGCUGGUACAAAGGGUUGCCAACCCGCGAGGGGGAGCUAAUCCCAUAAAGCCAGUCGUAGUCCGGAUCGCAGUCUGCAACUCGACUGCGUGAAGUCGGAAUCGCUAGUAAUCGUGGAUCAGAAUGUCACGGUGAAUACGUUCCCGGGUCUUGUACACACCG